GCGUUUGUAGCUCAGCUGGAUAGAGCUUUGGACUUCGAAUCCAAGAGUCGCAGGUUCAAGUCCUGCCAGACGCG
rnacentral:tRNA from 2 species